UACGUAGGGUCCGAGCGUUGUCCGGAAUUAUUGGGCGUAAAGGGCUCGUAGGCGGUCUGUUGCGUCGGGAGUGAAAACUUACAGCUUAACUGUGAGCGUGCUUCCGAUACGGGCAGACUUGAGGUAUUCAGGGGAGAACGGAAUUCCUGGUGUAGCGGUGAAAUGCGCAGAUAUCAGGAGGAACACCGGUGGCGAAAGCGUUCUGCUAGACCUGUACUGACACUGAGGGACGAAAGCUAGGGGAGCGAAUGGG
rnacentral:rRNA from 1 species